rnacentral:rRNA from 1 species
UACAGAGGUCCCAAGCGUUGUUCGGAUUCACUGGGCGUAAAGGGUGCGUAGGUGGUGGGGUAAGUCGGAUGUGAAAGCUCGGAGCUCAACUCCGAAAUGGCAUUGGAAACUACCCUGCUAGAGGAUUGGAGGGGGGACUGGAAUACUUGGUGUAGCAGUGAAAUGCGUAGAUAUCAAGUGGAACACCAGUGGCGAAGGCGAGUCCCUGGACAAUUCCUGACACUGAGGCACGAAAUCGUGGGGAGCAAACAGG